CAGGAUGAACGCUAGCGGGAGGCCUAACACAUGCAAGUCGUGGGGCAGCACGGGGUAGCAAUACUCUGGUGGCGACCGGCGCACGGGUGAGUAACGCGUAUGCAACCUACCCUGUACAGGGGGAUAGCCCGGAGAAAUUCGGAUUAAUACCCCAUAAAAAUAUUUUAAGGCAUCUUGAGAUAUUUAAAGCUUCGGCGGUACGGGAUGGGCAUGCGUAACAUUAGCUAGUUGGUAGGGUAACGGCCUACCAAGGCUACGAUGUUUAGGGGUCCUGAGAGGGUGAUCCCCCACACUGGUACUGAGACACGGACCAGACUCCUACGGGAGGCAGCAGUGAGGAAUAUUGGUCAAUGGACGGAAGUCUGAACCAGCCAUCCCGCGUGCAGGAAGAAGGCCUAUGCGUUGUAAACUGCUUUUCCAGGGGAAGAAAACCCCCGACGUGUCGGGGCUUGCCGGUACCUUGGGAAUAAGCAUCGGCUAACUCCGUGCCAGCAGCCGCGGUAA
rnacentral:rRNA from 1 species